GGUUUCUCCUAAAUGUAAAAUCAGGUUUCCCCUCACUGUAAAAUGAGGUUACUCCUCAACGUAAAAUGAGGUUUCUCCUCACAGUAAAAUGAGGUUUCUCCUCACAGUAAAAUGAGGUUUCUCCUCACAGUAAAAUGAGGUUUCUCCUCGUUGUAAAAUUAGGUUUCUCCUCACAGUAAAAAAAGGUUUCUCCUCACAGUAAAUUGAAGUUUCUCCUAAAUGUAAAAUGAGGUUUCUCCUCACAGUAAAAUGAAGUUUCUCCUCACAGUAAAAAAAGGUUUCUCCUCACAGUAAAAUGAAGUUUCUCCUCACAGUAAAAAAAGGUUUCUCCUCACAGUAAAAUCAGGUUUCUCCUAAAUGUAAAAUCAGGUUUCCCCUCACUGUAAAAUGAGGUUACUCCUCAACGUAAAAUGAGGUUUCUCCUCACAGUAAAAUGAGGUUUCUUCUCGUUGUAAAAUUAGGUUUCUCCUCACAGUAAAAAAAGGUUUCUCCUCACAGUAAAUUGAAGUUUCUCCUAAAUGUAAAAUGAG